rnacentral:misc_RNA from 1 species
GAUGAAGAACGCAGCGAAAUGCGAUACUUGGUGUGAAUUGCAGAAUCCCGUGAACCACCGAGUCUUUGAACGCAAGUUGCGCCCGAAGCCACUAGGCCGAGGGCACGCCUGCCUGGGCGUCACACGCCGUUGCCCCCCCAUCUACUCCUUCGGGAUUGCGGGGGGGCGGAUGAUGGCCUCCCGUGCGCCUAGCCGCGCGGUUGGCAUAAAUACCAAGUCCUCGGCGACGCACGCCACGACAAUCGGUGGUUGCGAAACCUCGGUUGCCCGUCGUGUGCGUUCGUCGCGCAUCGAGGGCUCGAAAAAAUGCUCGGCUCCGGCUGGGCUUUCAACGCGACCCCAGGUCAGGCGGGGUUACCCGCUGAAUUUAAGCAUAUCAAUAAGCGGAGGA